AUUUUUGUAUUAUAGGGAUUUUGAAAGUCUCUUUGGGCUAAAAUUAGCCACCUAGU
rnacentral:tRNA from 1 species